AGGCUGCGCCCUGCUUAAUGCCUGAUGAUCUGAGGUGGGAGAGUUUCAUUCCGAAACCAUCCGUGGUUCUCUGGCAAAGUUGGACAUCCCAAAGAUGGCAUAGAUAAACAUGACCAGGAAGAGCAGGAGGCCGAUGUUAAACAACGCAGGAAGGGACAUCAUCAAAGCAAAGAGCAGCGUGCGGAUCCCCUUUGCUCCUUUGAUCAGACGUAGGAUUCGGCCAAUCCUGGCAAGACGGAUCACUCGGAACAAGCACGCGGAACACAAUCAGGAAGGAGUGGAAGAAGUCGUUCAUGUGCCACCGUGGGAGCGUACAGUCAUCAUUGAUCUUGCAGACACAUUC
rnacentral:lncRNA from 1 species